GACGGAGGGGGCAAGCGUUGUUCGGAUUCACUGGGCGUAAAGGGUGCGCAGGUGGGCUGGUAAGUUCGAUGUGAAAGCCCCGGGCUUAACCCGGGAAUGGCAUUGGAUACUACUGGUCUGGAGGAUUGGAGGGGGGACUGGAAUUCUUGGUGUAGCAGUGAAAUGCGUAGAUAUCAAGAGGAACACCAGUGGCGAAGGCGAGUCCCUGGACAAUACCUGACACUGAGGCACGAAAGCUAGGGGAGCAAACAGG
rnacentral:rRNA from 1 species